AUUGAACGCUGGCGGCAUGCUUUACACAUGCAAGUCGAACGGCAGCGCGGGCUUCGGCCUGGCGGCGAGUGGCGAACGGGUGAGUAAUACAUCGGAACGUGCCCCGUAGUGGGGGAUAGCUCGGCGAAAGCCGGAUUAAUACCGCAUACGACCUGAGGGUGAAAGCGGGGGAUCUUAGGACCUCGCGCUAUUGGAGCGGCCGAUGGCAGAUUAGCUAGUUGGUGGGGUAAAGGCCUACCAAGGCGACGAUCUGUAGCUGGUCUGAGAGGACGACCAGCCACACUGGGACUGAGACACGGCCCAGACUCCUACGGGAGGCAGCAGUGGGGAAUUUUGGACAAUGGGCGAAAGCCUUAUCCAGCAAUGCCGCGUGUGUGAUGAAGGCCUUCGGGUUGUAAAGCACUUUUGGCGGGAACGAAAAGGACUGUGCCAAUACCACGGUUCGAUGACGGUACCCGCAGAAUAAGCACCGGCUAACUACGUG
rnacentral:rRNA from 1 species